rnacentral:rRNA from 1 species
AUUGAACGCUGGCGGCAGGCUUAACACAUGCAAGUCGAGCGGGGAAGGGUAGCUUGCUACCUGACCUAGCGGCGGACGGGUGAGUAAUGCUUAGGAAUCUGCCUAUUAGUGGGGGACAACAUUCCGAAAGGAAUGCUAAUACCGCAUACGCCCUACGGGGGAAAGCAGGGGAUCUUCGGACCUUGCGCUAAUAGAUGAGCCUAAGUCAGAUUAGCUAGUUGGUGGGGUAAGGGCCUACCAAGGCGACGAUCUGUAGCGGGUCUGAGAGGAUGAUCCGCCACACUGGGACUGAGACACGGCCCAGACUCCUACGGGAGGCAGCAGUGGGGAAUAUUGGACAGUGGGCGAAAGCCUGAUCCAGCCAUGCCGCGUGUGUGAAGAAGGCCUUUUGGUUGUAAAGCACUUUAAGCGAGGAGGAGGCUACUUGGAUUAAUACUCUAGGAUAGUGGACGUUACUCGCAGAAUAAGCACCGGCUAACUCUGUGCCAGCAGCCGCCGUAAGAC